UAAGGAAUAUUGGUCAAUGGACGCAAGUCUGAACCAGCCAUGCCGCGUGCAGGAUGACUGCCCUAUGGGUUGUAAACUGCUUUUGUACGGGAAGAAACCUCUCUACGUGUAGAGAGUUGACGGUACCGUAAGAAUAAGGAUCGGCUAACUCCGUGCCAGCAGCCGCGGUAAUACGGAGGAUCCAAGCGUUAUCCGGAUUUAUUGGGUUUAAAGGGUGCGUAGGCGGCCUAUUAAGUCAGUGGUGAAAGCCUGGAGCUUAACUCCAGAACUGCCAUUGAUACUGAUGGGCUUGAGUACAGUUGAGGUAGGCGGAAUGUGUCAUGUAGCGGUGAAAUGCUUAGAUAUGACACAGAACACCGAUUGCGAAGGCAGCUUGCUAAACUGUAACUGACGCUGAGGCACGAAAGCGUGGGUAGCAAACAGG
rnacentral:rRNA from 1 species